rnacentral:rRNA from 1 species
GGCGGCAGGAAUACCAUGCAAGUCGAGCGGAUGACGGGAGCUUGCUCCUUGAUUCAGCGGCGGACGGGUGAGUAAUGCCUAGGAAUCUGCCUGGUAGUGGGGGACAACGUUUCGAAAGGAACGCUAAUACCGCAUACGUCCUACGGGAGAAAGCAGGGGACCUUCGGGCCUUGCGCUAUCAGAUGAGCCUAGGUCGGAUUAGCUAGUUGGUGGGGUAAUGGCUCACCAAGGCGACGAUCCGUAACUGGUCUGAGAGGAUGAUCAGUCACACUGGAACUGAGACACGGUCCAGACUCCUACGGGAGGCAGCAGUGGGGAAUAUUGGACAAUGGGCGAAAGCCUGAUCCAGCCAUGCCGCGUGUGUGAAGAAGGUCUUCGGAUUGUAAAGCACUUUAAGUUGGGAGGAAGGGCAGUAAGUUAAUACCUUGCUGUUUUGACGUUACCGACAGAAUAAGCACCGGCUAACUCUGUGCCAGCAGCCGCGGUAAUACAGAGGGUGCAAGCGUUAAUCGGAAUUACUGGGCGUAAAGCGCGCGUAGGUGGUUUGUUAAGUUGGAUGUGAAAGCCCCGGGCUCAACCUGGGAACUGCAUCCAAAACUGGCAAGCUAGAGUACGGUAGAGGGUGGUGGAAUUUCCUGUGUAGCGGUGAAAUGCGUAGAUAUAGGAAGGAACACCAGUGGCGAAGGCGACCACCUGGACUGAUACUGACACUGAGGUGCGAAAGCGUGGGGAGCACACAGGAUUAUAUACCCUGGUAGUCCACGCCGUACACGAUGUCAACUAGCCGUUGGAAUCCUUGAGAUUUUAGUGGCGCAUCUAACGCAUUAAGUUGACCGCCUGGGGAGUACGGCCGGAACGUUAAAACUCAUAUGAAUUGACGGUGGCCCGCACAAACCGUGGAGCAUG